GUGAAUUCACGUUAACGGCGUCAAAUGGUUUAACACUUUAACUUUACUGGUUUAACAACGUUCACAUGUACACAGAAGGCGAUGGAGCCAUCACCUCCGGCCGGCAUCCUCAUCUCGGUGCCCACUUCGACGGUGAUGAUGAUGGUAACGGUGCCUACCUACCUACGUCAUUCAUCGGCUCUUAUUCUUAGGAUGCCUAUCGUCUUCCUCGCAGGAAGGUUCAAUCCUCUUUCAUCUGCUUCGUUUUCGCCCCUUCAUACGAACAGGAACGCCGCCUAUUAGGGUUCACUGCGAAACUCAACUCUCCUCUCAGAUACAUAUACAAAAGACAAGGUGCACAAGAGCUCGGAAGAAGCAAUUUACCUUAAUGGUCCAACGGGUUCAGAACAGAGGGCAUUUUUGGAAAUCACAAAUUACUACAACAAAAGUUUGAUCAAUCAGAAGCAGUUCGAGUUUUGAAAGAUAUUGCACUCUUUAGUAUUUAAAAAAGUGUAUCCGUUUGUGUAGAAAACGUAAUGGGUCAAAAUGAGCUUUAAUUUGUACUACUUCGAAUGGGAUUCUAAUGUUAUCAUGAUUUGUUUCAUUUGUUAUAGAAUGAUUCGGAUUAACGCGCCGCAACGCGCGUGGGGUUAAAACCUAGUAUAUAUUAAUUCACAACAUAACCGAACAACAGUGAACUGACGGUAACGGCGUCAGCUUUAUCAUCUUCUAAACCCUAAAUCACAUUCUUCACUUCUUCUUCACCAGAUCGACACCUUCCCACCACCGCCCUCCAUCAUCGUCUUCAACGCCAACGCCACUCACUCCGUCGCCCACAUCCGCCUCCAUCUCCAUCACCACUUCCCUGUCGCUGCUUCCGACCACCACGGCCUCACCCGUUUCUCCAGCCAUACCGGAACCACUACGAACCACCGUAGAUCUGUGGUUAUCUAUGAUACAAAUGAGAUUGUGAGGUAUUAGAGAAAGAAAUGGAGCGAUGAUUAUUGCACCACCGUUGCCGGAGGCACCGGCUUCAGGUCAGCGUUUUGGUUUUUAUUUUUCUUUGCAUUUUGUGGUUUAAUGUUGGGUUACUUUGUGGUGUGGUUGUUACAACCGCUGGUAUUGUUGUUUCACCACCGCCGAUGAUUGGAGCCUGCCUAUUGGCGUGGCAACUCCGGUUGCAGCCUGGGCGACACUGAGUCGUCAAGACGAUGACGAUCUAUUAGAUCCGGGUCUGUUGGUUUAGUUAAAUCUGUUUUUUGUGAGGGUGAGAUUUGAGAUUUUGAUAUUGUCGUGGUUUACGAAUCUCUAUGACGGCGACGAACGGUGGUUGUGGAUGUAUAGUGUUUCCUUAAUUUUGGGGGUUUCGUGGUUAGCUUUUGUGUCAUUGUUGCACGUGAGUUUGAAACCAGCUAUGGUUGUUGCUUUUUUUUCCAUGGAUAUCGAUGUGUUGAGCUAUGAUGAUGUUGUAUGAAGUUUUUGGUGGUCUGAUAUACGAUGCUUACCUGGCCGUGAUGGUUUCCUGAGCCUUGGAUGUGUGUUUCCGUUAACCUUUGUGUGCAUUAUGUUGUUAUAUUUUGUUAUGGGUUGUACCCACUUCGUGUCUGUAACGAACUUAGAUUGGGUGAUGAUGAUUAUGAUGCAUUCUUGGCAUGGCAACUGUGAUGCUUGAAAUCAAGCAACCAGAACUGCAGCCAUGAAAUUAGAAUCUGAGCCUAAAAUUUUAAAUUGAACAUGUGAGGAAGAGGAUUUUUUUUUGCGAAAGAUUGAUCGGGACUGUGCUAAUGAAGAAGAAGGUUUCUUAGAUUGGAACAUGGGUGUCUGUUUGAUUUAAUUUUAACUUUACUAACCAUUUACAUUUGUGGUGUCAUCCGCAAGUGUCAUUUGGGAUAUUGUAAACACACUCAAGGGCGUGGCGUGGCGUGGCUUAAACUAUGAUCCGGAGGUUAAUUAUAACCAGAGUUUGCUGAUCGACUACACGGUAACGUGUAGUCAAUUUCGUUUCCCGCGAUCGUUCUCAUACCGUUGCACCAUUCGGAGUUCCGCCUUCACAAUGAACAGGUUGUUAAUUUGGACAUCCAAUCCCAAAUGUGUGGGCUUGGUAAAAUUUGCAAGUUGGUAAAAAUGAGUGCUGAAUA